UAGUAAACAUGAUCGUUCGUUUCGGGGUGUUAUGCUCGAAGGGUAUUUGUUGCAUACCUUAUGUCUAUGAACUUAUUUGCAUAAUUGUAUGUCAAGGUUCAUCGUUUGACUUUAAUGCGGAAGUUUCAAAUAAUGUUAUUUCCUGGUUGUCUUAUACUCUUCUAGUUGCAAUCGUUCAUUGUCAGGUUUAUGUUCAUACUAUCCAAAGCAUUGCAACUCUUUAAUGUGUUAUCCCGCACACGUUCACCUGUGCGGCGUCUUGACGGUUCGCAUGAAGUAAAUAAACCACUGCGGUCACAAAAAGUACAGUCAUAAUACAGAGUGUGGAGGCUAUUCAACUUCGACCUAAAGAUUCACGGUUUCGGCCUUUAGGCAAUGUCCACUGGUCUCACAGAACACAUUAAGUGGACAUCCUAGGAGCAAAACAGGAUGUAUCUGUACCUGCCCUGCAAAAACUUAAAUGUCAUGAGUUGAAGUUUUGGCUUCAAUGCCGUGGAGAUUCCUGCAAAGGCCUGAAAACCAAGGCACAGCUGAUACAGAGAAUUCAACAGACUGUUUCAAAUGGCAAGCAUUCUACAGUCAUUGAUCCCACCCCAGAUAAGCAUUGGGCACAAAGGGUACCAACUCGGCCUAUAUGCACCAUACACUCUGCUGACCCUUUUCCCAAGAAAGGAUCAUACCACCAGUGGGGCAGUUCUACUGACUGGGGUAAGAGGCUUGAAAGCCUUCCAUCCCUUACACGGCGAGAUAGAUAUGCACAUAGACACUGUGAACAUGAGAAUUAGGCCACAGAAGGACUUGACUGAGUGUCAAAACCUGCAAUCCGUGGUGCACACCUCAAUUCAGAGGUUAUUUCCACGCACUCAGAUGAAAACAAACCAAAACGGUUAAAAAAAUGUUCAGCAAGCCAAUUAUAACACUUUAGUUAGCCCUCAUAUUUGUUCAACAGGCCUUGCAUUACAAAGCAUCACACAAACAUUCUUUGACGUGAAUGAAUGCUCCAAAAUAAUUCUUUUCUGACAGGUUUGCUGAAAUACAAAUUGAUGAUCCUUUAAUUUUGCAUCUUGUAUUCUUUAUACAAUAGUUCAGUUGGAAAAAAUAAUUUUGCACACUCCUGUGUAUUUUAAAAAAUAGUCUUGCUGAGUACUGACAAAUACAUGUACACACAUGUAGCUGGAUUCUCAAUGUGAAGUCAUCAUUACAUAAUAAUAUUGAUAAGUUAUUCCAGAGAACAAUUGUUCUGGGACAGGGUCUUCCAAAACAAUGAAAAAUAUCUGUUCUUUAUAGUAGAAAAAACACUUGCGAUGACUUAUUAUGUUAUGCAUGUGACCUCACGUUGAGAAUUCAGCCAUACAUUAUAUCAGCAAGUGGCCAAAUUAGGUUAGCG